rnacentral:misc_RNA from 1 species
AAUCUCGGAUGGCAAUGGAGGAUGCAGGUAGGAGCACCUCUGAAAUACCUCGGCAUUGUGCCACGGCGAAACGUGAAGCAUUGCUGGAUUUUAUACUCUUC